GUAGUUAGCCGGGGCUUCCUCCUUGGCUACCGUCACUUUCUUCGUCACCAAGGACAGAGGUUUACAACCCGAAAGCCUUCUUCCCUCACGCGGCGUUGCUGGGUCAGGCUUGCGCCCAUUGCCCAAUAUUCCCCACUGCUGCCUCCCGUAGGAGUCUGGACCGUCUCUCAGUUCCAGUGUGGCCGAUCACCCUCUCAGGUCGGCUACCCAUCGUCGGCUUGGUGGGCCGUUACCUCACCAACUACCUAAUGGGACGCGAGCCCCUCUUCAAGCGAUAAAUCUUUUACCACUGAUACAUGCGUAUCUGUGGUCUUAUGCGGUAUUAGCAGCCGUUUCCAGCUGUUGUCCCCCUCUUGAAGGCAGGUCGCUCACGCGUUACUCACCCGUCCGCCACUAAGCUUCACCUCGUAUUGUCUACUCGGUUGGUCGUCCGUUCCGUACUUGUCAUGUGUUAAGUACACGCCGCCACGCGUUCGUCCUCGAGCACGAUACAACUACUGA
rnacentral:rRNA from 1 species